UGAAAUUGAACAGAAAUGGCUGGGGUGGGAGCAGGAGUGAGACUGGGACUCUGCCUCCUGUGCCAAACAGGGAGAGGUUAAGCAUGUGGUUUAGCACAGCACCCAUCGCCAUAGUAUCUAAACACUGAGGUGUAGUUACAGUCAUUCUGACGGUGAAAUGAUGGCAGCAACAACAACAGAAGAAAACUAACAUGUGUUUUGCGACGCCCCAGCCAGCCAGACAGAUUGAUUUUCUGGUUGCCACCCGGGGCCUCCGGAGGAAAGGAGCCGUUGAGGCGGGAAGGAAAAAGAGGCCGAGGAGGAGGAAAAUAGCGCCGAGC